AGUAACGCGUGGGUAACCUGCCUCAUACAGGGGGAUAGCAGCUGGAAACGGCUGAUAAAACCGCAUAAGCGCACAGCAUCGCAUGAUGCAGUGUGAAAAACUCCGGUGGUAUGAGAUGGACCCGCGUCUGAUUAGGUAGUUGGUGGGGUAACGGCCUACCAAGCCGACGAUCAGUAGCCGACCUGAGAGGGUGACCGGCCACAUUGGGACUGAGACACGGCCCAA
rnacentral:rRNA from 1 species